AAGGAGAAGUUAGACAUAUAAAGCGCAAUGCUCAGAAAGUACAAAAAAAAACUACUCUUCAGUCAGGUAAGAUGUAGAGCGGCCGGGAUUUAACUUCUACUGAGACGGAGAAAUAAUCCGGUGACGAGUGGAGAGGAAACCGGGGCCCUUAAGCAGUGCUGAUUGCCAGCAGGUGAGAUGCUUAUAUCAGCGCCUUUAGCGUCCUCUCGGCGUGCUCUUCUGUGUGCUGCUUUCUUCGUUCGCUCAUUGUUUUGCUGAGAAAUGUUACAAAGUGACCGCUGUGUGCACAUUUUCUGGACUUUUGCAUAUCAUUUUUUAUAACUUGUUGGAGUUGUUUGGAGUAUAUAACAGGUUGGUGCAUAUCGUAGCCAAGAGUCCAGGACUGUGAUGUGAAGCAUUCCUAUAUUUGUUCGUGAUGAGUACAGGAUAUUCCCGUUGGAAGUUGGUUCUGCUGUUUUGUACCUCAGAUGGGAACCCUCGGGUGCAACAUGUUUGUGAACAUCCUUUGCAAUUUCCUUGCUUAUGGUUGGCAACAAAUUAGUUAGACACAAUGACUGUUGUCUCUCAGAUCGGAUCCCUUCAUUUGUUUCUUUCUAAUGGUAAUUGGAGUAGUUUAAACUAUUUAACUCACAUUUGUGGAUGUUGGACCACAGCAGUACGAUAAUCUACAGACGACAAGAUCCUAGUGGUUACAUCACAGGUUCAUCUCAGCUCGGCUCCUUCAAUAAAGAGCAAUGAAAAACAAAGAAAAUGUCCUCAAUGCGGCUCGGCAGCUUGUCUGCCAGAUGAGACCGAACUGUUUUGGCUGCACAAAACCGCAGAUGAAUUGUCCUUUUUUCUUCCUUGUAAUGAGCGUGCGGCCCAAUAGAGUUUAUCUGGUAGACGCCAUGAAACAGUAUCUUUUAGUGCUGCUUCUCAAUAUUUCACUUGGUCGGCACCCACUUCUCCCUCCCGCCAUUACUGGCCAUCCGGGACGAGGUACCUGCCCACACAAAUGGGACAUUUACCGUCACACAUUUGUACGGCAGCUGCCCUGCUUGCUGGCAAAGAGGUGAUUUUCCUCCGUCCGUGAGAAAACUACAAGUCCAGCACUUUCUUAAGUACUCUUCAUAUUUACCAGAAUUGAAUGCCAGGUCGUGACGGUUGAGUCACAUCACUUAAAUUUGACUCGCACGUUUGUUGGCUUUGACGGUCAAAAUCUCCCAUGACUGCAAAGACAAUAACAGGCCCGAGGGUUUGGUGCGUGAGGCACUCGGACCGUAUUGUACCAGUACGGCGCGUUCGUCAGGGGGGAUUCUUGGCCGAUGAUGCUUGAAGCUGGAAAUGGCCUGGCGGGAGCCCAGGCUCUACAUACGGAGAGCUGCUGAGUGGACAUUUUAGCAGUGCUGUGAAAAUCAUUAGAUGAUUGCCUCCGAGGCUUUGUGAGAAGGGUGAGACUUGUUGUGUUCAAUGUUUCGCCUGCAAGCGCCUGAUGAUGAGGUGUUUGAUCCACAACAAAAUCCUUAGAACUUAUUAUAAGCUGUCCUCUCCAUAAAUCCCAACGGAUAUGAUGCUAUGGUCUCAGAUGAGAGAAGCCUUAAGGGGACCUACAGCAUGUAAAUUAAAUUGCAGCGUUACUUUCCCAUAAAAGAGUUUCCUGUCUGCAAAUGUGCCAUUUCACCUGUUAGCUCUGCCGCGAUGUGGGGAUUUGCUUCAGUCAAACAGCAUGUUGUUCACCUCAGGCUCUCCAUUGAAAAAAUGUCUCUCACAGAAAAGCAUUUGAGCAUCACAUCAUCAUCAUCAUCAUCAUCCCAUUGGAUUAAUGGCAAUCUAUUUGCAUGCAAUCCUAUUCCACCUGGAAGUAACUCCAAAUGUGUGCUUGGGAGUGUUUUCUCCAAAUGCAAAGAAGUGUGUGUCUGUGUGUGUGUGUGUGUGUGUGUGUGUGUGUGUAGCAUGUUGGUCUGUGGGUGUGAAUACGUGUAGAGCAGUGCACGUGUCGGAAGUACUUGGUGGAACAAAUGGAGCUGACACAAUUUUGACUUUAUCAUAAGAACAAAUCUGGUAAAUUAUAGUGUUCCAGAAGUCUUUGUUCUUUGUUUGAUAUCUAACCUUAGGCGGAUGCGGAACUCAAAGUUACAACAAUAAUCCGUUUGGAUCUUUGUUGUGACUCAGUUACAUUCAGCUCUGCUGCUUAUAUUUGGCUUCAGUGAAAUUUAAACGGGGUGGAAAAAACAAGUUUGAAGACCUUUGUGAAUUGAUGGGUAAAUGAUCAUCAUCUCUUGCUGUAUCUUAAUCAAUGUUGUCCCGCAAACUAAAUUUAAACUUUGCGCAGGGCCUUCUGAAUGUCAUGAUUGGCAGUCCUAAAUGAGAACCUAUUGAGUUUGUGUCGAGUGAUGAUGAGUCAGCGAGUCGGCCGAUGGCUCUCGUUUUCUAAGAACAUCCCUUGAAAAAACCCAGUAAAUGCUUGACUUGGCUGGUAGUGCUGCAGGAAGCCAAACAAACUUGUCAAACAAGUGUAACAGCUGCUCCUCCAUAAGCAGGCAGAGAGGUAAAUACAGCUGAGCAAUGACCUGCUGAAGAUGACUAUUCAAAUAGAUUUUUCUUCAGAGAAGAUGGGAGACACAUAGUCUUUCGUCAAGUCCAGGUACACUGUGUUCUCCUUCUUAUUUGUCUUGGCUCAGGAGAAUUUGUUAUUUUUAGAUGCUAAAACCCGUCAAGGGUUUUCUGGUCUUGGGAAAAUGUCUCGUAUAUUCAAAAGGAACGCAUACAGGCAGUCUUUCCUGUAAAGAAAACCCUUGUAGAAGAUAGUGGUGCAUUUUUUUCCAUGGAAAGAGAUUCAAAUUCUCGGUUAGUUGCUUAGUCGUGACAUUUGACAUUUCGAGGGGUUUUUGAAAGCAGCACGAGGUUUCUGAUGAUAUGAAAUGGAUGUCACUGAGGUCACACUGGCCCCCUAGAGUAGAUAGAAAAAA
ensembl:lncRNA